rnacentral:rRNA from 1 species
GGAAGAACACCAGUGGCGAAGGCGACUUUUCUGGACGAAAACUGACGCUGAGGCGCGAAAGCCAGGGGAGCGAACGGGAUUAGAUACCCCGGUAGUCCUGGCCGUAAACGAUGGGUACUAGGUGUAGGAGGUAUCGACCCCUUCUGUGCCGGAGUUAACGCAAUAAGUACCCCGCCUGGGGAGUACGACCGCAAGGUUGAAACUCAAAGGAAUUGACGGGGGCCCGCACAAGCGGUGGAGUAUGUGGUUUAAUUCGACGCAA